rnacentral:rRNA from 1 species
AUACGUAGGGAGCGAGCGUUGUCCGGAAUUACUGGGCGUAAAGGGCGCGUAGGCGGCGCUUCAAGUCGUCUGUCAAAUGGGAGGGCUUAACCCUUUUUCGCAGACGAAACUGGAGAGCUUGAGAAGCAGAGAGGCAAACAGAAUUCCUGGUGUAGCGGUGAAAUGCGUAGAUAUCAGGAAGAAUACCAGUGGCGAAGGCGGUUUGCUGGCUGCAUACUGACGCUGAAGCGCGAAAGCCAGGGGAGCAAACGAGAUUAGAUACCCCGGUAGUCCUGGCAGUAAACGAUGUAUGCUGGGUGUGAGACUAGCGAUAGUUUCGUGCCGAAGUUAACGCGAUAAGCAUACCGCCUGGGGAGUACGGUCGCGAGAUUGAAACUCAAAUGAAUUGACGGGG